rnacentral:lncRNA from 1 species
GCCUGAGGGAGUUGAAACCUUAGUUUCUUAAUAAUUUAUAAAUUUAUAAACGGACAAUUUUAAAAAAGUUUGUUAAAUCCUGUCAGUACCGAAAUACAACUACCGAGCUGAUGAUACCCUCGGGGACUGAUAGUCCACCAGCAGAGGUAUCAACCCAGUGAUGUAAAAUAUUGAAAACAACACGUUUAAUAAUUUCUUGCGUCCGCAGCUCUUUUCUGGAUUUACCUUCAUCAGGAACGUUCAAAGCCAAACAUUUGAAAUCCGAAGAUGUAUAAGUACCG